GAUUGAACGCUGGCGGCAUGCCUUACACAUGCAAGUCGAACGGUAGGGGGAGCAAUCCCCUGAGAGUGGCGAACGGGUGAGUAAUACAUCGGAACGUGCCCAGUCGUGGGGGAUAACGUAGCGAAAGCUACGCUAAUACCGCAUACGACCUGAGGGUGAAAGCGGGGGACCGAAAGGCCUCGCGCGAUUGGAGCGGCCGAUGGCAGAUUAGGUAGUUGGUGGGGUAAAGGCCCACCAAGCCUGCGAUCUGUAGCUGGUCUGAGAGGAUGAUCAGCCACACUGGAACUGAGACACGGUCCAGACUCCUACGGGAGGCAGCAGUGAGGAAUAUUGGUCAAUGGGCGGAAGCCUGAACCAGCCAUGCCGCGUGCAGGAAGACGGCCCUACGGGUUGUAAACUGCUUUUAUGUGAGGAUAAACCUAGAUUUGCGAAUCUAGCUGAAGGUAUCACAUGAAUAAGGAUCGGCUAACUCCGUG
rnacentral:rRNA from 1 species